UACGGGGGGGGCAAGCGUUGUUCGGAUUCAUUGGGCGUAAAGGGUGUGUAGGUGGCGCCGUAAGUCGGGUGUGAAAUCUCGGGGCUUAACUCCGAAACUGCAUUCGAUACUGCGGUGCUUGAGGACUGGAGAGGAGACUGGAAUUCAUGGUGUAGCAGUGAAAUGCGUAGAGAUCAUGAGGAAGACCAGUGGCGAAGGCGGGUCUCUGGACAGUUCCUGACACUGAGACACGAAGGCCAGGGGAGCAAACGGG
rnacentral:rRNA from 1 species